rnacentral:rRNA from 1 species
CGUGUAGGCGGUGCGGUAAGUUGGGCGUGAAAUCCCCGAGCUUAACUCGGGUGGGCCGUUCAAGACUGCCGUGCUAGGGUGCGGGAGAGGGAAGUGGAAUUUCCGGUGUAGCGGUGAAAUGCGUAGAUAUCGGGAGGAACACCUGCGGCGAAGGCGGCUUCCUGGACCGUAACCGACGCUGAGGCGCGAAAGCUAGGGGAGCAAACAGGAUUAGAUACCCUGGUAGUCCUAGCCCUAAACGAUGAGCACUGGGUGUGGCCCCUCACGGGGCCGUGCCGAAGCUAACGCAUUAAGUGCUCCGCCUGGGGAUACGGUCGCAAGGCUGAA